rnacentral:rRNA from 1 species
GUCCUUGCCGUAAACGAUGUAUACUUGAUGUAGUUGGGCUCAACCCUGACUGUGUCGAAGCUAACGCGAUAAGUAUACCGCCUGGGGAGUACGCUCGCAAGGGUGAAACUCAAAAGAAUUGACGGGGGCCCGCACAAGCAGUGGAGCAUGUGGUUUAAUUCGAUGCAACGCGAAGAACCUUACCCAGGUUUGAAAUUCAGAGGACGAUGGCAGAGAUGUCAUUUCCCGCAAGGGCCUCUGGACAGGUGCUGCAUGGCUGUCGU